UACGUAGGGACCAAGCGUUGUUCGGAUUUACUGGGCGUAAAGGGCGCGUAGGCGGCAAUUCAAGUCAUCUGUGAAAUCUCCGGGCUUAACUCGGAAUGGUCAGGUGAUACUGCUUUGCUAGAGUGCAGAAGGGGCAAUCGGAAUUCUUGGUGUAGCGGUGAAAUGCGUAGAUAUCAAGAGGAACACCUGAGGUGAAGACGGGUUGCUGGGCUGACACUGACGCUGAGGCGCGAAAACUAGGGGAGCAAACGGGG
rnacentral:rRNA from 1 species